GUGACAUGUCUCUCAUUCUUGGCUCAUCCAAAAUCAGCCCAAGGAUGUUCAUAUUCUAGACCUGACGCUAUUGGGUAAACGAACGUCUAUGCAAAUCCUUCCUGUUAUCUGCUCUGCAUAAAUAAUCAGCUCGUUGCUCAGUUACAGCUCAUAUCACCCAACUGAAAUCCAGAGCUUUCAACCAUCACAGAGUUGAUUAUGGGGCUGAACGACAUUCAGCAAUGCAUUUUUAUACUCGUGUUAGCACAAGGUUUUUGCAGUGCUGAGAUCAGACUGGACCAGUCUCCUGCUGUGGUAAAGAAACCUGGAGAAUCUGUGAAGAUCUCCUGUAAAAUAAGUGGAUUUUCAAUGACAAGCUCUUACAUGCAGUGGAUACGACAGAAACCAGGGAAAGCUCUGGAAUGGAUUGGUAUGAUGGACGCAGGGAAAAAUGAUGUAACAUAUGCAAAGUCUUUCAAAAACCAUUUCACCAUGACAGAAGACGUCUCAGCAAGCACACAGUACUUAGAGGCCAAGAGUCUGAGGACAGAGGACAAUGUAUGGGUGGUUUUGUCAAUGUAUGGGUGGUUUUGUAGUAUUGUUUACAGGUAUGCAGUUUUACUAAAAUAUUUUGUUCUUUUAGCUGAUUCUGCUUUGACUUUUAUCGAGAUUAUUAUGGGCCACAGUGUUAAUGAAGCACCUGAGCAGAAAGCACUGUAAUCUAACUAUAGUUCUGCAUUACGUAUAUCAAGUGAGCUACAUUUGUCCUCCAAUGUACAAAUAAACUGAUGUUUUACCUUAAUAUAUCAGAGUGUUUCUAAUAAUCUGUAACUCCUCUUGGGCCUGGACAUGCAAAUAAAACUUUCCCUUUAUAUGAGCACAAAAUCCAGGUGCAUUAUUUACACUUAGUUUAAACUCCAGAAAGAGCCAUGCAGUCACACAUUAAUUCCUGUUUUCUUUGGACAUUAUUGACCAUAACCCGGGAGUAACAGCUUCUUUGUGCAGGUAUCAUUCAUAUAAAUUGUGUCAUUAUGUAAAAGUAUAAAAUG